UUCUAAGGGCGGUGAAGUCAGACCGGAAGGACUGGUGGAGCGCUUAGAAGUGAGAAUGCCGGUAUGAGUAGCGAAAGAAGGGUGAGAAUCCCUUCCACCGAAUAUCUAAGGUUUCCUGAGGAAGGCUCGUCCGCUCAGGGUUAGUCGGGACCUAAGCCGAGGCCGAUAGGCGUAGGCGAUGGACAACAGGUAGAGAUUCCUGUACCAGUGCUAAUUGUUUAACCGAUGGGGUGACACAGAAGGAUAGGGAAUCGCACGAAUGGAAAUGUGCGUCCAAGCAGUGAGUGUGAGAAGUAGGCAAAUCCGCUUCUUGCGAAGCAUGAGCUGUGAUGGGGAAGGAAAUUAAGUACGGAAGUUCCUGAUUUCACGCUGUCAAGAAAAGCCUCUAGGAAGAGUAGUACUGCCCGUACCGCAAACCGACACAGGUAGAUGAGGAGAGAAUCCUAAGGUGAGCGAGAGAACUCUCGUUAAGGAACUCGGCAAAAUGACCCCGUAACUUCGGGAGAAGGGGUGCUCUAUUAGGGUGCAAGCCCGAGAGAGCCGCAGUGAAUAGGCCCAGGCGACUGUUUAGCAAAAACACAGGUCUCUGCAAAACCGUAAGGUGACGUAUAGGGGCUGACGCCUGCCCGGUGCUGGAAGGUUAAGAGGAGUGCUUAGCUUCGGCGAAGGUACGAAUUGAAGCCCCAGUAAACGGCGGCCGUAACUAUAACGGUCCUAAGGUAGCGAAAUUCCUUGUCGGGUAAGUUCCGACCCGCACGAAAGGCGCAACGAUCUGGGCACUGUCUCAACGAGAGACUCGGUGAAAUUAUAGUACCUGUGAAGAUGCAGGUUACCCGCGACAGGACGGAAAGACCCCGUGGAGCUUUACUGCAACCUGAUAUGGAAUGUUUGUACCGCUUGUACAGGAUAGGUAGGAGCCGAAGAGACGUGUGCGCUAGCAUACGAGGAGGCAAUGGUGGGAUACUACCCU
rnacentral:rRNA from 1 species